rnacentral:tRNA from 1 species
AGUUAAAUUAAAUUAGGCUGUAAACUUAAUAAAAACUUUUUAGUUUUUAACUA